ACAACCGCUGUGGGAGAGACUGCGCGGACCGGAAACAAGCCGACCGGUCCGGCGUGGCGCCGAAGGUGUAUCGCCCCGGAAACUCUCAGGCAAAAGGACUGCAGCGGUUCG
rnacentral:ncRNA from 2 species